UCCGUAGGUGGAUAAUUAAGUCAGAGGUGAAAUCCUGCAGCUCAACUGUAGAAUUGCCUUUGAUACUGGUUAUCUUGAGUCAUUAUGAAGUGGUUAGAAUGUGUAGUGUAGCGGUGAAAUGCAUAGAUAUUACACAGAAUACCGAUUGCGAAGGCAGAUCACUAAUAAUGUACUGACACUGAUGGACGAAAGCGUGGUGAGCGAACAGGAUUAGAUACCCUGGUAGUCC
rnacentral:rRNA from 1 species